CAUCAUGUUAAUGGAAUGUUCAUCAUGUUACUGGAAUGUUCACCAUGUUACUGAUAUGUUCAUCAUGUUAAUCGAAUGUUCAUCAAGUUUGUUGGAAGUUAGUCAGUUAUGUUUGUUUGUAAUUGCAUUGAUUCGUGUUGAUAUGUUUGUAGAUAAGGCUCAACUUACAAAUACGUGAAUGUGACUUGUAUGUAUGUAGAUAUGGAACUGUAGCAUGUGUAAGUAGUGUGAACUUGUAUGUACGUACAUAUGAAUGGGAUACGUAUGAAUGUACUUAGAUAUAUGAAAGUGUAUACACGUGUUGUAAUCUAAUGAUUGUAGAUCACUGGUAUACGUAUAUGUGAAGAUGUGGGUUUUCAAUAUGUUUGAGAUCACGUACUCCUAACCAUGUUACUAUUGAGAAUGAAAUAAAUGGAGUGCAGGUUAGUCAAAUAUUCAUGAUGGACAAGUGAACGAGGAUCAAGUUGAAGAUCAUGGAUUGUACAGGAAAGCGGUCAUGUUGUUUGUAAUCAUUUGUUAACAUAGUUACAUUAAAUAAAUGAUGAAUGAUGUAUUUAUGUUAGAAGGGUUGACCUAAACGGUAUUUUAGUACGUUAGAGUAGUUAAAAGAAAGAAAUUUUACGGUUCAUUUU